AAGGCCUUCGGGUCGUAAAGCUCUGUCGCAGGGGAAUAACACAAUGAAGGUACCCUGUAAGAAAGGAUCGGCUAACUUCGUGCCAGCAGCCGCGGUAAGACGAGGGAUCCAAGCGUUGUUCGGAAUCAUUGGGCGUAAAGCGGGUGUAGGUGGCUUUGUAAGUCAGGUGUGAAAUCCCAGGGCUCAACCCUGGACGUGCAUUUGAUACUGCAGAGCUUGAGUGUGGGAGAGGUUACUAGAAUACCUGGUGUAGUGGUGAAAUACGUAGAUAUCAGGUGGAAUACCGGAGGCGAAGGCGGGUAACUGGCCUAACACUGACACUCAGACCCGAAAGCGUGGGGAUCAAACAGGAUUAGAUACCCUGGUAGUCCACGCCGUAAACGAUGGACACUUGUUGUUGGAGGUAUUGACCCCUUCAGUGACGUAGCUAACGCGUUAAGUGUCCCGCCUGGGGAGUACGGUCGCAAGAUUAAAACUCAAAGAAAUUGACGGGGGCCCGCACAAGCGGUGGAGCAUGUGGUUUAAUUCGAUGCAACGCGAAGAACCUUACCUGGGUUUGACAUGAACUGGAAGACUGGCAGAAAUGUCGUCGCCCGCAAGGGCCGGUUCACAGGUGCUGCAUGGCUGUCGUCAGCUCGUGUCGUGAGAUGUUGGGUUAAGUCCCGCAACGAGCGCAACCCCCAUCCUCAGUUGCCAGCACGUAGUGG
rnacentral:rRNA from 1 species